rnacentral:rRNA from 1 species
CGGAGGUGGCGAGCGUUACUCGGAAUCAUUGGGUGUAAAGGGCAGGUAGGCGGUCUAUUAAGUGAGGGGUGAAAUCUCCCGGCUCAGUCGGGAAACUGCCUUUCAAACUGAUAGACUUGAGUGUGAUAGGGGUAAGCGGAAUUAGCAGUGUAAGGGUGAAAUCUGUAGAUAUUGCUAAGAACACCAGCGGCGAAGGCGGCUUACUGGAUCACAACUGACGCUGAUCUGCGAAAGCUAGGGGAGCAAACAGAAUUAGAUACUCUGGUAGUCCUAGCCGUAAACGAUGAAUACUAGGUGUUGGACCGUAAGGUUCAGUGCCGCAGCUAACGCAUUAAGUAUUCCACCUGAGGACUACGACCGCAAGGUUA